UAUAUCUAUCUAUAUAUAUAUAAAAGAGAGUUAUCUCUUUUUUGGUGAAGCCACCUCAGCAUCCAGGUUACAAAGUCAAGUUCCAACAGAUUGAUACGUAUCCACUUAAAUGAAACUAUGUAUUUCAUUAAGUCGUAUAUGCUCAUCGUGAUUUAGGCUUUUCGUCUAUGUUAUUUGUUGCUGUGUGUAUGGGCUGCGAAAGUAAUGGGCUACACUUAAUUUUACUAAAGACCCAUAACCUGAAUAAGGUAAAUCCUAAGCAACUCCCAUCGUUUACUUCUUCGUUGUUGUACGACGACUUCUCAUCUUCAUCAUCUCUACCACUGAAACGCUUCUGAUUAUUACUUCUUCGUGUUAAUCUUUAUUAAUUAUUCAACCACGAUGUAGCCUUGAAUGCUUGCUUCGCUUUUUGGAGUCGGAGUAGGUGUAUCUGCAGAGUAUAAAUAGGUCAGUAUUCUUCCUCCUACAAUCAUCUUAUCAGCAUGGUUAAACAGCAAAACUUCAAAAUUCCAAUAGGAUUCGAUAUGUAUUUCUUUCUAAGUAUAACGACUAAACAGUUUGUUCUACUUACUGAUUUGAAGUCCCGACGUUGUUCUUCCACUUCCUUGCGGCUGCUCAGAUCUGAGAAGCCAGAAACGGGAGUUGACAGGAUCCUCCUUGAUGCUGAGGUAUUCCGUUCUUGAACCUUAUGAACUAAAUUUUAAACUAUUUCUUGCUUUUAAACUGAUAAAUAUCCAAAACUCUGUAUUAAGAUCCUUAUUCAAACUCUUUUGAAUGAUAAAUGUUGGACCCGUUUGUUGAUUAUGCUUUCUUUAUACAUGUGUUGCAGUCAACACUCAUGCCAAUCAACGUGAAUGUCAACCGUCUUGCUCCACCGGCAUGAAGGACAAAGGGUGUUGUUAGUUGUUGUUGGGAUUGUGAAAUCUCGUGUCCAACUCUAUAUUAUCCGGUUAGUACGAUAUUGUCCACUUUGGGCCUUAGGCAAGCCCGCAUGGUUUUACUUUUGGUUUCCAUCCCAAAAGACCUCGUACUAUUAAAGUUGGACUUCUCUUUAUAUAUUAGACUUUUCUUUGUCUAAUAUCCGAUGUGGGACUUAACUUGUUAUCUCACAUUCUCCCCCUCAAGCUAAGGACCACAUUCAUCUCAUAUGUUUCCUUCGGCGAAUCAUCUUCGGCACCACCUUGUACCAGUAAUCGCAAAGCUUUCUUUGAGAAUGUUUCUCCCACUACACAUCACAGGUGGACUAAGGAGCUUCAAUGGACUGUCUCAGCCUUUACUUGCAAAACUUCCAACAAUGCUAAUGUUGUUGGUGUCCUCUGGUAUGUAGCGACCCUAAACACAUUGUUUUCUUAGCUUUAGAUAUCUUUUAAAUUAGUUAAUUUGGCUAAUUAUAUUUUGUUUUUGAUGUAAUGAAUGGUUUAAUGUUUUAAAAAUUAUAGAUUGUGAAAGUUACUCACAGUAAUGUGUAUAAGGUGAAGAUUUAUUGACUAAAAAUGGUAGCUUCAGAGAAAGUUAGAUUUGAUUAUUUGGACGCAUACAGUGUUACGUUCAUGGCGAGAGAGAAUCUUGUGCUGCAUGGGCUAAAUUAUCAUAAAGUUAUUAAGUCUCUACAUCGUUUUCAGUCUAUGGAGCAUCCUCUCCCUGGCCUUCCUGUGACUCAAGGUAUUAAAUUUAAUCUUUUUCAAGUUUGUGUUGUGUUUUGCGUUUCAAUUCUUGCUGGUGAGAGAUGAAUAUAUUGUUUUAUAUAAGAUCAUAAGAUAAUUAAUUACAGAAAAAUUUAAUGUUCAAGUCUUCAUCUGCAGUGUAAUUAUGCUUCCACAUAUAAGUGGUAAUUGUGAUUUCCAACGAUGUGAUGUUCCAUUUUCUGAUUUUUGAUUCACUUUGAUCUUUUUUUAUUGUUUUAUUUUAUUUUCGAGGCAACUCUUUUUUUUUCUGGUCACAGUCGUCCUGCUUAGUUAUGAAAUAAUUUAAGACACUAGGUUUGAUCAGACUGGCAAUGAUGACGAUGAUAUGCCUGCAAUGAACUCAGUCUCUGCUAAGGUGGACGUUGGCGGUAGUACUCUUGAGGGAGCACCAACUACAUGAGCUGAUCCAAGUGAUCUUGACACUAAGAAGCCUCCGGCUUGAGCAUCUUUGAAGAUGGCAGAGAAAGCACGCAUGGCACAAUGGCACAAGUGAAGAUAACGAGAACUCUGAGCGCAGUAUUUCCUAUUUGAAUAAUGCAAACAUAUCUAUGUUGCUUAACGAGUUUUUUUUCUUUCGUUCCAUCCCUUUGGAUUUGCUAUGUUUGGUUCAGACGAUGUUUAAAUUUUUUUUUUAAGUUUAAAUAAAUUGAUGUAUUUGUGACAUGUUGUUUAAUCAUUACGGUUCCACGAAAAAUAAAAACAUGAGCUUCAUACUUCGCCAAAUAUAGUCAGAGAUAAUUUGUUGCAUUAAUGUAUAAUUAUAUUUAUAACAUUCAAAGAAUAAGAACAAUAUUUCACAAGCAAGAAUCUGUGCAUCACAAACAUAACAAGAAUCAACAACAGAACUAUAACUCUGAAUAUUUGGCACUUCAAAUCUUUUCCUCACUAGGAAGGUUAACUUGCAACUUAAAAAGGGAAUUCUUCCCUUCACUAAUUCAGAAUCAUUAUAAUUUUACCUUCACUACCUAUUAUAUCCCAUUUUAUAAACCUGUAUAUAUAAAAUUGGGUUUGCUUUCCUCCUAGGCAGACAUGUCACGAAUUCGAGUCUUGAGAAGCCGACACGUGUCUGCGUCCAAAACACGGUGUUUCAUUAACUUGGAGCUGGAGAUCGUGUGGGCUUUUGGUGUAACUCAUAAACAUGCGAAAAUAUUUUCGUGUGGGCUUUAGAUCAAAUUAAAAAUAAUACUUUUAACAAUAUAAUUUUAUAUUUUAGUAAGCAAAUAAUGUCGUGUUCUUCGUCUUAUGAAUACGUCAUAAAACAGCUCUUAUGAUAUUGUUGAUAUUCAAUCCGAUCAUACUGGUAUGAAAAAUUAAUGUAAAUCAACAGACGAACCGAGUACGAUAAUUUUAAUUGAAUUUACAUGUGUCGAAAAUACAAUAAAAUAUUUUUAUUUAUUUUAAUGUGUAAAAUAGCCCGUAAAAAACAAAAAAAACUAGAUGAACCAAUAGGUUUAUAGUAUAUUAGUGAACAUACAUA